UACGUAGGUGGCAAGCGUUGUCCGGAAUUAUUGGGCGUAAAGGAUGCGUAGGCGGUUCUUUAAGUGGGAUGUGAAAUCCCUGGGCUUAACCCAGGAAUAGCAUUCCAAACUGGAGGACUAGAGUGCAGGAGAGGAAAGUGGAAUUCCCAGUGUAGCGGUGAAAUGCGUAGAGAUUGGGAGGAACACCAGUGGCGAAGGCGGCUUUCUGGACUGUAACUGACGCUGAGGCAUGAAAGCGUGGGGAGCAAACAGG
rnacentral:rRNA from 1 species